rnacentral:rRNA from 1 species
CUGGGCUUGACAUGCACUGGAAACCAGUAGAGAUAUUGGCCCCCUUGUGGCCGGUGUACAGGUGGUGCAUGGCUGUCGUCAGCUCGUGUCGUGAGAUGUUGGGUUAAGUCCCGCAACGAGCGCAACCCUCGUUCCAUGUUGCCAGCGCGUAAUGGCGGGGACUCAUGGGAGACUGCCGGGGUCAACUCGGAGGAAGGUGGGGAUGACGUCAAGUCAUCAUGCCCCUUAUGCCCAGGGCUACACACGUGCUACAUUGGCGCGUACAGAGGGCUGCAAGACCGCGAGGUGGAGCGAAUCCCUCAAAGCGCGUCUCGGUUCGGAUUGGAGGCUGAAACUCGCCUCCAUGAAGGCGAAGUUGCUAGUAAUCGCGGAUCAGCACUGCCGCGGUGAAUA